UUCUUGCAGUUGUCUUUUUCCAUAAUUUUUUCUUAUAACCAGCCUUCCUCCUUAGCCACAGGCCAGAAUGAAGUCGAAGAAACCUGUAGAUGACACCUUUCACAGUCUUUCUCUUCCCUUUCCGUGAACUGAAGUAUGUUACGGUUCUGACUGGUAGCUUGAGGACAUUUGGAAGCAAGGGGGCCGCUCUAUUGAGGAUUGCUGCAGUAUGUCCACAUGUCAGGUUUCUGACAGACGUGGCAAGUCUGGGAGCAGAGGAAACAACUGGUGUCUGCAGAGAACUAAAAUGCCGGGUGGACAGUGCAGAACUAAGACAGGCAUUCUUGACACCGUUUUGACAGGCUGAAGACACCAAAAUAUUCAGGGGCCGUAAGACCCCUGAUGCAGCUCUGAAGGCACGGGCAAAGGCAGAGGCCGCCAUCUUGCCAUCCCCGAACACCAAUA
rnacentral:lncRNA from 1 species